CCGAGUGCACAGAGCCCGUGGCAUGGGAGAGCCCCCACUCGCUCAGACCGGCCCAGGGUGUCGAGUGGCUCUGGCGGGACACCGGAGCCCUGGCAGGGGGCGAUGGGGCUGCGGGAGAGUGCUGGAUCCGCUGUAGGCCCCUGGGUUUGUCCUGUGUGCCUGGGGUAGUCAGACCGGUGGCAUCGCAGCCCCGGUGCCUGCACGUCCUCGAGUCUCUACCCCCUUCCAGUGGCCUUCUGGACUCUGCACCUGCUGCGACAGUGCCCUGGGCCCGAGAAGGGGCUGCAAGGUGGUGCCCAUUUCUAGCCCCCGGGCUCCUUGGGCCUGAAGGGCAGUGGGGCUGGUGACGUUCCUGGUCGCCCGCUUGCCCCGUGUGCUUGCCCUCCGCUUCUGUUUGGCCCAUGAGCUCUUCAGGGCCGUCAGCAGCUCUCUGUCCGCACAAGGCCGCGCACAGCACGGGCACUGCUGGAAACCCGGAGCUGAGAACUGGAAAUGAGUCAGCCUAGGGGAUAGGACAUUCGUCUGGGGACCCUCGAGUGCUCCAGCUGGCAGCCAACCGGGGAGUGGAGUCCUGCCCGCGGAGCUUGGACUGCGCCCUGCAGCGAAGGGAGUUCUGCCCGGCCGGGUCCCAUGCCUGCGGCCCCUGCCUCCAGCAGUUUGUGGAAGAUGGACAUGGCCAUUGCGUCCAGAGGAAAUGGUCCUCCGCUGGUAAGUGUGUGUGGGCAACGGGCCGUCCUGCUGGCUCCGCGUAAGCGCCCUCCACGCGCCGCGCUCGCCCCCGCCCGUGCCGGUCUCCACGCUGCCUUCGAUGGGCUUGUGAAAUCGGAUCCGUGACUGAAUGUGGUGCGGAGCGGGGGCACCCUGCACGUGGUGGCGUGAAGCAGGGCCUGCUGCAUUGGUAGAUCCCUGCCGGGUACAUUUGUAUCAGUCGUU